rnacentral:tRNA from 1 species
GCCGGUAUGUUGGAAUUGGCAGACGAGGCGGACUCAAAAUCCGUUGGUAGCGAUACCGUGCGGGUUCGACCCCCGCUACCGGCA